rnacentral:lncRNA from 1 species
CUUGCAGAGUUUAUGUUGGACACAUGGACAGUCAGUCGCUGUAAUUGUGGUCAUCUGCUCAUCAUGCUGAGCCUACCUUUCUGUAUUACUGCCCCAGGUUUGUCCGAGUCAUCACCGCUGCCUUGUCUUACCACCGCCGGAUGGUCUGUGCCUUUGCCACGCACUUCUCUUACCGCCCCAGAUGAGCUUGUGAUUCAUUGAACACAGCUAGAUCCUUUAGGGUUCAUCAGUCCAACUGCUUCUGAGCUGGACCUGAGAGAGACAUCUAGUGCUCAAUGCUGAUAUUACAGCUCAUUCACAAACAAAUGAGUGGAAUAUUGUUGCAGACUCAGCCAAAACCAGAUCGCCCUGAACAGUAUGUAAUUGGCCUGUAUAAUUGGUUCCACACUCUG